AAAUUCAUCAACACCAACAAUUAGUAUUUUGGAAUACCAUUAAGACAGAUGGUAGAGGGUUGGGUCUGGUUAGUACUUGGAUGGGAGACCACCUGGGAAUACUGGGUGCUGUAGGCU
rnacentral:rRNA from 1 species